AACGAACGCUGGCGGCGUGCUUAACACAUGCAAGUCGAACGAAGUGGCGAACGGGUGAGUAACGCGUAAUCAACCUGCCCUUCAGAGGGGGACAACAGUUGGAAACGACUGCUAAUACCCCAUACUGAAGGAGGGGAUUGCGUCUGAUUAGCUAGUUGGGGGGGUAACGGCCCACCAAGGCGAUGAUCAGGAGCCUGUCUGAGAGGAUGAACGGCCAACUUGGGACGGAGACACGGCCCAGACUCCUACGGGAGGCAGCAGUGGGGAAUCUUCCGCAAUGGAGGAAAGUCUGACGGAGCAACGCCGCGGGAGUGAUGACGGGCUUCGGGUUGUAAAGCUCUGUUAAUCGGGACGCGGUACCGGAAUAGAAAGCCACGGCUAACUACGUGCCAGCAGCCGCGGUAAUAC
rnacentral:rRNA from 1 species